CUACGGGUGGCAGCAGUGGGGAAUAUUGGACAAUGGGCGAAAGCCUGAUCCAGCCAUGCCGCGUGUGUGAAGAAGGCCUUCGGGUUGUAAAGCACUUUCAGUGGGGAAGAAAGCCUUGGGGCUAAUACCCUCGAGGAAGGACAUCACCCACAGAAGAAGCACCGGCUAACUCCGUGCCAGCAGCCGCGGUAAUACGGAGGGUGCGAGCGUUAAUCGGAAUUACUGGGCGUAAAGCGCGCGUAGGCGGUCUGAUAAGCCGGUUGUGAAAGCCCCGGGCUCAACCUGGGAACGGCAUCCGGAACUGUCAGGCUAGAGUGCAUGAGAGGAAGGUAGAAUUCCCGGUGUAGCGGUGAAAUGCGUAGAGAUCGGGAGGAAUACCAGUGGCGAAGGCGGCCUUCUGGACUGACACUGACGCUGAGGUGCGAAAGCGUGGGUAGCAAACAGGAUUAGAUACCCCAGUAGUC
rnacentral:rRNA from 1 species